rnacentral:rRNA from 1 species
UGGGGAAUAUUGCACAAUGGGCGCAAGCCUGAUGCAGCCAUGCCGCGUGUGUGAAGAAGGCCUUCGGGUUGUAAAGCACUUUCAGCGGGGAGGAAGGCGAUAAGGUUAAUAACCUUGUCGAUUGACGUUACCCGCAGAAGAAGCACCGGCUAACUCCGUGCCAGCAGCCGCGGUAAUACGGAGGGUGCAAGCGUUAAUCGGAAUUACUGGGCGUAAAGCGCACGCAGGCGGUCUGUCAAGUCGGAUGUGAAAUCCCCGGGCUCAACCUGGGAGCUGCAUUCGAAACUGGCAGGCUAGAGUCUUGUAGAGGGGGGUAGAAUUCCAGGUGUAGCGGUGAAAUGCGUAGAGAUCUGGAGGAAUACCGGUGGCGAAGGCGGCCCCCUGGACAAAGACUGACGCUCAGGUGCGAAAGAGUGGGGAGCAAACAGG